GUCUACCUACAGGUCUAACCCAGUGUGUUGUCUACCUACAGGUCUGACCCAGUGUGUUGUCUACCUACAGGUCUAACCCAGUGUUGUUGUCUACCUACAGGUUUAUCCACACCCCACGCUCUGAAAAGUUUGAGAUCUCUUACAAUGUCAACGAUGUGGAGACGUAUCUGAAGUACACAUAGCAUAAGGAGUUCCUGGAGAUGUA